rnacentral:rRNA from 1 species
AGAGUUUGAUCAUGGCUCAGAUUGAACGCUGGCGGCAGGCCUAACACAUGCAAGUCGAGCGGUAGAGAGAAGCUUGCUUCUCUUGAGAGCGGCGGACGGGUGAGUAAUGCCUAGGAAUCUGCCUGGUAGUGGGGGAUAACGUUCGGAAACGGACGCUAAUACCGCAUACGUCCUACGGGAGAAAGCAGGGGACCUUCGGGCCUUGCGCUAUCAGAUGAGCCUAGGUCGGAUUAGCUAGUUGGUGAGGUAAUGGCUCACCAAGGCUACGAUCCGUAACUGGUCUGAGAGGAUGAUCAGUCACACUGGAACUGAGACACGGUCCAGACUCCUACGGGAGGCAGCAGUGGGGAAUAUUGGACAAUGGGCGAAAGCCUGAUCCAGCCAUGCCGCGUGUGUGAAGAAGGUCUUCGGAUUGUAAAGCACUUUAAGUUGGGAGGAAGGGCAUUAACCUAAUACGUUAGUGUUUUGACGUUACCGACAGAAUAAGCACCGGCUAACUCUGUGCCAGCAGCCGCGGUAAUACAGAGGGUGCAAGCGUUAAUCGGAAUUACUGGGCGUAAAGCGCGCGUAGGUGGUUUGUUAAGUUGAAUGUGAAAUCCCCGGGCUCAACCUGGGAACUGCAUCCAAAACUGGCAAGCUAGAGUAUGGUAGAGGGUAGUGGAAUUUCCUGUGUAGCGGUGAAAUGCGUAGAUAUAGGAAGGAACACCAGUGGCGAAGGCGACUACCUGGACUGAUA